rnacentral:rRNA from 1 species
CAGCCGUAAACUAUGCUCGCUAGGUGUCAGGCAUGGCGCGACCGUGUCUGGUGCCGCAGGGAAGCCGUGAAGCGAGCCACCUGGGAAGUACGACCGCAAGGCUGAAACUUAAAGGAAUUGGCGGGGGAGCACAACAACGGGUGGAGCCUGCGGUUUAAUUGGACUCAACGCCGGACAACUCACCGGGGACGACAGCAAUAUGUAGGCCAGGCUGAAGACCUUGCCUGAAUCGCUGAGAGGAGGUGCAUGGCGUAGACGUCU